UCUGCUGAACAUUAAGGAAGAAUACCGUAUUGGGAGAAGAUGGCAAGAGUCUGAUUCAAACUUCCAGUCUACCCUUAAAGAUGUGGGCCGUGAGCUCAGAGUCCAACUGCAAGGCUAGAACUGAAUCAAGGGAGAGAGAGCAGUCCUCCUCCACCUGAGAAGAAUAUAUCCAGCUUUGCUUCAGAUGGGCAGGACAUUGCCAUUAGACUCUCCAAGCAGGUAGCCAGCUCCAACAAUAGACUGAGACAGGCAAUAUAAGAAUACAACAGCAUUCAAUGGUCACCGCCGAUGAGCUUCUUUCUUGCGACAAUUGAUUUUCAGGAAUCAUGUGAUCCCUCUUGGCAUGUCUACUUCUGCUUUGAUGACACUAUUGAAGAAGAUGAUGUUUCGAGAAGUCUAAAAAGGCGAGGGAUUGAUGCCUUACAUAUGAAGACUCGGGCAGCUGAGGAAAGCACAUGCUUUACCAAGAAAUGAAAAGUCUAACUAAACACCCCAUCAGGAGCAGGCCUCUAACAUCUGUGCUAUAACAUCAAAGACACUGAGCAGCCUGGU